UUAUAAAACAGGGAUUGAUAAUAUUGGGAAGGGGAACGGAGCACUUUUUGAACACGUGCAAGAUAAAUCCUGAAAAUGGCUGCCAGUAUGCUAUUUCCUCAGGAUCUUUUCUCAGCAAUUAACAGAGCUUUCUGGGGGUGGCACAUGCUCAGCUGCUGGUGUCCAACAGAAGAGCCAAGACCCUUGCGUCAGAUCUGUCCAGGAGAGUUUAUUCUUUCAUUUAUUAUCUUCUCCUACCUCCAAAACGGCUAGGACUUUUAAAAGCGGUCUAUGGAGCUCUGAAUGGAAGCUAUAGGAGAGGUAAUUUAUUCAGCCGGCUGCUGGAGAAACAAUUAUGAGGCAGAUUCUUACACCGACUGCCCCCACCAGUUAUUCUGCUAUGUGACCCUAAGCUAGCAGCCAGCCCCAGUCCAAAGUUCCUCUUCAGCCAAGUUUGCUAAGUUUGCAGUGAGCUCAGAGAAGCCAUCACAUGAGAAGGCCCUACUGGAAGAAGAUGAUUCUGUCAGCGCGGGAUCCCUGCUUUCAGCAGAACGGGGCCGGCACGUAGACAGAAGCAGGCGCACAAACACGCCCGCCGCCAGAACUUCCCUGGUUCUUCAAGGCUUACUGACUGCGAGCACAUUCAUCCUCUCCACCCUCUGCACAACCUGUCACAGUCAGCACAGCUUUCAGCUUUACAUCCCAGCCCACCUUUCCAGACGAGAAAAGAAAACCCUGCGGAGUGUGGCAGGAUUCCUGGAGUGGACCUGCAAGUCCAGCAGGCAGCAGUGUGAGCACCUCGUGGACACAGCGCAGCAGCCUCACAGGAGCACGGAUGGAAGCCCGGCAACUCUAGUUAUUAGCGGUUAUUAGGGUAGACUUGAGAAGGACACGGUUUGGGGGCCAAGCAGCCCUAGUUCAUGCCCCCUGGACCUACGAAACUCUUCAACACCGAAGGAGGCUACUGGUUGAGCUUAGAAUUCAAAAGCCAUAGAAUUCUACUAAAACUGGAAGUCUGUCUGCAGGGACAGCGAUGUGUUUUCUGUGAAGAAAAAGACCGAUGCAGAAACCUCAGUCUACUCAGACUUCCCAGCCAUGCCAGUUUGAACCUGGAUAAAACCAAAAUUCUUACGAAGCUUUUUAAAAAAAUAAAAUCGUUUGUGAAAGGCUUUUGGUAAACUCUGACUCAUUGCCUCGGUGAAAAAAGCCCAGUGAGUAGAGCCGGUCCUGCCAG